ensembl:misc_RNA Gm24105 predicted gene, 24105
GCCGGGCACGGUGGCGAACGCCUGUAGUCCCAGCUACUCCGGAGGCUGAGACAGGAGGAUUGCUUGAGUCCAGGAGUUCUGGGCUGUAGUGCCGAUCAGGUGUCCGCACUAAGUUCGGCAUCAAUAUGGUGACAUCCCGGGGACAGGGCACCACCAGGUUGGCUAAGGAGGGGUGAACCGGUUCAGGUCGGAAACGGAGCAGGUAAAAAUUCCCCGGGCUGAUCAGUAGUGGGAUCGUGCCUGUGAAUAGCCACUGCACUCCAGCCUGGGCAACACAGCGAGAACCCGUCUCU